GCCUCUGUAGCUCAGUUGGUUAGAGCGCUGCACCGGAAUCCCAGGGCCGUAGGUUCAAUUCCUACCAGAGGAC
rnacentral:tRNA from 1 species